GGGAUUAGAGUUUGAUCCUGGGUCAGGAUGAACGCUAGCRGCAKGCCUAAUAMAUGCAAAUCGAGCGGGUCGCAAGACAGACGGCAAACGGGUGCGUAACGCGUAACAACCUGACUCACUCAUACUGUGGGGAUARCCCUGCAGAAWACGKUWUUUAAACCCGCAUAGUCCCCUGGAGUCACCUGGCUGUUUKGGUAAACAUUUAUGGGUUGAGGAGGGGCUUGCGUCUGAUUAGCUAGUUGGGGGGGUAACGGCCCACCAAGGCGAUGAUCAGUAGGGGUUCUGAGAGGAUUGGCCCCCACACGGGUACUGAGAGACGGACCCGACUCCUACGGGAGGCAGCAGUAGGGAAUAUUGGGCAAUGGAGGCAACUCUGACCCAGCCAUGCCGCGUGCAGGAUGAAGGCGCUCAGCGUUGUAAACUGCUUUUAUCAGGGAAGAACUGUAGUCCUSCGGGAUUAUUUGACGGUACCUGAGGAAUAAGCACC
rnacentral:rRNA from 1 species